UGAGGAAUAUUGGUCAAUGGACACAAGUCUGAACCAGCCAAGUAGCGUGCAGGAUGACGGCCCUAUGGGUUGUAAACUGCUUUUAUAUGGGGAUAAAGUGGGGAACGUGUUCCCUUUUGCAGGUACCAUAUGAAUAAGGACCGGCUAAUUCCGUGCCAGCAGCCGCGGUAAUACGGAAGGUUCGGGCGUUAUCCGGAUUUAUUGGGUUUAAAGGGAGCGUAGGCCGUUUGGUAAGCGUGUUGUGAAAUGUAGGAGCUCAACUUCUAGAUUGCAGCGCGAACUGUCAGACUUGAGUGCGCACAACGUAGGCGGAAUUCAUGGUGUAGCGGUGAAAUGCUUAGAUAUCAUGAAGAACUCCGAUUGCGAAGGCAGCUUACGGGAGCGCAACUGACGCUGAAGCUCGAAGGUGCGGGUAUCGAACAGG
rnacentral:rRNA from 1 species